rnacentral:rRNA from 1 species
GAUGAACGCUGGCGGCGUGCCUAAUACAUGCAAGUCGAGCGAACAGAUGAGGAGCUUGCUCCUCUGACGUUAGCGGCGGACGGGGGAGUAACACGUGGAUAACCUACCUAUAAGACUGGGAUAACUUCGGGAAACCGGAGCUAAUACCGGAUAAUAUAUUGAACCGCAUGGUUCAAUAGUGAAAGACGGUUUUGCUGUCACUUAUAGAUGGAUCCGCGCCGCAUUAGCUAGUUGGUAAGGUAACGGCUUACCAAGGCAACGAUGCGUAGCCGACCUGAGAGGGUGAUCGGCCACACUGGAACUGAGACACGGUCCAGACUCCUACGGGAGGCAGCAGUAGGGAAUCUUCCGCAAUGGGCGAAAGCCUGACGGAGCAACGCCGCGUGAGUGAUGAAGGUCUUCGGAUCGUAAAACUCUGUUAGUAGGGAAGAACAAAUGUGUAAGUAACUAUGCACGUCUUGACGGUACCUAAUCAGAAAGCCACGGCUAACUACGUG